AUGAUGCAGGGUUGCGAUGCAGUUGACUUGGUGGACGAGGGCCAGCGAGGCCGGAGGCGGAGCAAGGCGGCGGCGGACUGGGCCUUGGGCGUCGCGGCCGGAUUGAGCAGUGCUCGAUGCAGAGGUGGGCGCUGGCUCGCUGCUCCUCCCGAGACGAAGCAGGGGUGCGAUGCAGUUGACUUGGUGGACGAGGGCCGGCGCCUUGACGACUCCGGCAAGGCAGAGAGGCCUAGGACGGACACGGGGAAGACGGAUCCGUCCGUUUGCCGGCUGGAUCGGGAGGUGGGCAAGCCCAGGCGGUGUGUGGCAACGGUUGAAGGUGCCGGCGGCCAUGAAGCUCCGAUGGUGGCGCUGCACAGAGUAAAAAAACGGAGGGAGCUGAGGUCAGGCAGGAGAUGGAGAGCACGGGAACGAGGAGAGGCCGAGGCGCAACUGUGUGUGCUCUGCUCACCGGCGGCCUAG
rnacentral:rRNA from 1 species